AUGCACUCAGCUUUAUCAUCACUCUGUUUUCUUGGCCAGCAAGAAACCAAUAUUGGAUGUUGGGUGGUGAACAGAAUAGAUGCACAUAUUACUAAUUAAUAGUUCCAUUUCUAUUUCUUAAACUCAAUUUCCUCCACAGUUUUGAACAUGGUGGAAGUCACCGGAUACACCCAGGAUUGAAGAAAUAUGCCUGUGCGCUCACUUUGGACUCCAACACAUCUCACAAGAACCUGCUGCUCUCUGAAGACAAAAGAAAUGUAACCUGGGUGGAGGAGGAGCAGGCUUAUCCUGAUUAUACAGAGAGGUUUGAUUGCUGUCAGCAAGUGCUGUGUGAGCAGGGACUAAAAGAGCGCUGCUACCUGGAGAUGGAGGUGUCAGAGCCCUUUUGUGUUGGGUUAACAUACAGAAGCAUUGGCAGGAAAGGAGAUGUGGAUGACUGCAAGCUGGGACAAAACAACAAGUCUUGGUGUCUGAUUUGCUCUGAUGAUGGUUGUUUUGUUGAGCACAACAAAGAGAAGGUCUGUGUAUCAUCUCAGUGUUUGCGCUGCAGUCGGGUUGGGGUGUAUCUGGAUUGGGAAGCUGGCACUUUGUCCUUUUACAGAGUUUAUUCUGGUAGCCUCAUUCACCUCCACACUUUCAAAACAACCUUCAAAGAUCCCCUCUACCCUGCUGUUGAUCUUCACACCCGUUCCUCUGUAUUGUUUUGUCAGCUACCGUAGAAAGAAGUUUCACUGUAGGUUAGAAAAUGAAUGCCUGCUAAACAACUUCAGGAAGGCUAGACAUCAGUUGAAGCCUCAGCACUGUGGAGAAGGCUGUAGCUCAGGUGGUAGCGCAGGUUACCUAGUAAUUACAAGGAUGGCGGUUCAAUCUUAGUCUGCUUCAGCCUGCAUGUCAACUAUCCUGGGAUAAGAUACUAACUCCGCCCUCUCUGACACUCCACACCUGUUGGAGUGUGAAUGUUCAGUAGAAAGAGCAUAGAAAUAGUGCUUUUUUGAAUGGGUAAAUAAGACAAGUACUUUGAGUGCUCCAAUAGAGCAGAAAUGUAUAUAUAGGAACCAGUUCAUUAUCUUUGUCAAACAGACAAACAAAAGGUCAAAAAAAGUUGCCCUCUUGAAGUGAUCAGUUGAUCCUGCAGAGAGGAUAAGACAAGAAAACAUGUGCUCACUAUUCUGUUAGUAACCUUGUUUUAUAAACAUAACCUUCAGUAUGAAUAUGUAUAUAUGGUUAUUUUAGUGACACAUACAGUUUUUAAAGUGAUGAAAAAUGUUUUCAGGUUUUUUAAGAAGUGCAUGAUUUCUUGACAGAUUACGUUAAAUAAAUAAAAAUUUGGUUCAUUUGAGGAAAAUGAACAUCCAUAGAUAAUUUUCAUUUCACUUUUAUUUUACACCCUCAACUGCUUGAUUGCAAAAUAGCUACACUUUUAGCCAACAAAUCUAUAUUGAUACUGUCAAUACUGUCAUAAAAUGUCAAAAAUAAGCUCUCCUGACUCUGGAAUAGUGUCUAAGUUGUGGGAAACGGGCAUGGAGCUCCUGGAGCUACAUAUAAAAUAUUAUAUGUAAUGUGAGUUAUUUAUAUGACUCAUCAUAAUCAACCAGGAUUUCUAAAACCACAUAUUUGUCACACAGGACUGGGAAAAUGAUGUUAGCAUUGAGUUUGACAGUGUGGUAAACAACAGAAUAGACUAGUAGCCAAACAGCCAGGGAGCAGGCAGGUGGUUGAUAGCAGAUCUUCUUUCUUGUACUUACACAUAAGCCACAUUGUUAAUUUGCUAGUUUACCUGCAGUUUACCGCAGCCCAGGUUAAGUCUACACACUGGCUGUUACCUGUUGGUGUAGAUCUCAUUUUAAACAUAUAAUCUUUUGAAUGAAUGCGUUUGUAUUACAUACUUUCUUUAGCAGACCAACAUGCUUACAGUAUCAGUGCUAAAAAGUGUUUUACAUAAAGUACAUACUAUAUUUAUUUACAGCUAAUGGGAGUGUUGUUAGUUUGAAAUAAAACUAACCACCCUGAGGCUGUUUGUCUCUUGGUUUCCAGCUCACAAUAUUUUGACCAAAAUUAUACUCAAAGUUUUGAAACAAGUGUGUUGCAGGAAAAAAUGAUUCCUUACAUUAAAGUUUUGUGAUACAUUAACGAGGUAAAUAUGGUCGAGGUCUCACUACUUUAAAAGCAUUAUGUCAGUGUUGAUUUGAUAGCUUAAGCUGCUCUCUCGGGAUGAAGUAAAAGUGGAGCAAGCAGCAUAGUUGCACUAGUACAUAAGGAAUGUUAAUAAGUAGUAGUCUGGUUCUUUUAUGUCGAUUUGAAUGUAAAGUAUAUAAUAAAGCACAGAAUAAAAGAUACCUUAGCAGUGUG